UACGGGGGGGGCAAGCGUUGUUCGGAAUUACUGGGCGUAAAGGGUUCGUAGGUGGUCUGCUAAGUCGGACGUGAAAUCCCUCAGCUUAACUGGGGAACUGCGUCCGAUACUGGUGGGCUUGAGUGCAGGAGAGGAACGCGGAAUUCCAGGUGUAGCGGUGAAAUGCGUAGAUAUCUGGAGGAACACCAAUGGCGAAGGCAGCUUGCUGGGACGGUACUGACGCUGAGGCGCGAAAGCGUGGGGAGCAAACAGG
rnacentral:rRNA from 1 species